CGGCAAGAGCUCAAAUUUGAAAUCUGGCCUCUUCGGGGCCCGAGUUGUAAUUUGGAGAGGAUGCUUCGGGUUCAGCCCCCGUCUAAGUGCCCUGGAACGGGCCGUCAUAGAGGGUGAGAAUCC
rnacentral:rRNA from 1 species